UCUCUCCUCUCUAUGUUUUCUUUCUAUCUCUAUUUGAAGCCAAAAACCAUUCAAACAACAGCUCUCAUCCUAGAUUCCUCUCAGAAGAUCUCUCUUGUUCUAGAUCACACUCACCUCUGCUCAGCAGAUCACUCUCACCCCAAAUCUCUAUCAUCUCUGUCAUCCCUCUCACUUCUGAUCGCUCUUUGAUUGACGAUGAAGGAGGACGAAUGAGGAUGAACGACGGCGAACGACACGAAGUCUGAGGUAAAUCAACGAGAAGACACAGAAUCUAAGAGUCAUAAGGAACACUGUAAUUACUUCAAAUUCGUAGAUGAGGUUGAUGACGACACUAGCUCCGCAAUUUGUUCCUAUGUUGGACCACGGAAAGCUAUAAGAACAGAAGAAUUAAACGAUCUAAGGACAAGGCUUUGUAAGAUAGACAAUGAAAUUCAUGAGCAUGGUAGAAGGCUUUAAAGAAUGGAGAAGAACUUCAAGGCAAUGAUUUAUGUCAUUGUGUUUUGUUUGUUUUUGCACUUUAUCAUAUAAAUGACUAAGUUAGGUUUUGGGAAAUUUCAUGAAUACCUGCCCGAUACAUUUUGUGUUGUCUAUGUGGAUGGGUUUGGAUUGAAUGGAUUUCCAUAGGCUACUAAUGAAUGUGAGCUUUCCAGGUUUUAUCAUUCAAUUUUUUGAUUGAAUUGAUUUUGUCCAUUACUAUACCUUGGCAAUGUCAUUUCAAUUUAUGUGCCCCA